rnacentral:lncRNA from 1 species
CCAAGACCUACUCAAGCCCAGAUCGUCGGUUUUCUUUUCCUCCUGAAGAAGACCACAAAUGGAAAGUAAACUACAGACUAGUCACCAAAGGACAGACAGGACUCCAAACUGACUUCCAGCCGAGACCUUUCCCAUCAGGCACUGCUGGCCGGGGAGGAGCAGUAACCAUCCUACAAUAGCACUCGGGAGGAGGUAGCGGCAGGUGGGUACCCA